ensembl:lncRNA
GUUUCAACACUCUGCUGACUUUCAAUUGAUCAGACAAAAUGAGUUCCACAAAAGAAAGGCAUACAAGUUUGAAAUGACAUGAAGUUGAAAAGUUAGCACAAUGAGAAAUUCUGUGGAUGGAAGGAAAUGCAUUGGAAGGCCACUGAAACGAAAUGAAGGAAGUCAGGAAGAUAAUGAAGUGCUUGCUGAGACGAAUGCUGUCAUCAUUUCUCAUGGACUGGUUUUACGAUAGUUUCUCAAAUGCAUGGUGAAGUUGCUGUGAAGUCCUUGUCUGAUAAAUUCUUCCUUGAGCUGAAACAUGAUUUUUCUGUUUGUGAGAUAUUCCUGAGUGGUAUUCAUUAUUUACAUUUAUGACUGUUUCACAUUUUGACAUUUUCUUUACCUGUAUAAUCACAAGCUCUUCAAUCUGAGACUGUGAUAAAUAUUCUACACUUGUAAGUUUCACUCUCA